rnacentral:rRNA from 1 species
UGUUGCUGGCUGUCGUCAGCUCGUGUCGUGAGAUGUUGGGUUAAGUCCCGCAACGAGCGCAACCCUCAUCCUUAGUUGCCAUCAGGUAAUGCUGAGUACUUUAAGGAAACUGCCAGUGAUAAGCUAGAGGAAGGUGGGGAUGAUGUCAAGUCA